AUACGGAGGGGGCUAGCGUUGUUCGGAAUUACUGGGCGUAAAGCGCGUGUAGGCGGAUCGUUAAGUCAAGGGUGAAAGCCCGGAGCUCAACUCCGGAAUUGCCCUUGAUACUGGCGAUCUAGAGGCCGGGAGAGGUGAGCGGAAUUCCCAGUGUAGAGGUGAAAUUCGUAGAUAUUGGGAGGAACACCAGUGGCGAAGGCGGCUCACUGGCCCGGUUCUGACGCUGAGACGCGAAAGCGUGGGGAGCAAACAGGAUUAGAAACCCUAGUAGUCC
rnacentral:rRNA from 1 species